UUUGGAUUUAGUUUAAAUUAAAAUUUCUUUUUUUGGAUUAGAAGAUUUUUUCCAAAA
rnacentral:tRNA from 1 species